rnacentral:rRNA from 1 species
UACGUAGGGUGCGAGCGUUUGUCCGGAAUUAUUGGGCGUAAAGAGCUCGUAGGCGGUUUGUCGCGUCUGCCGUGAAAGUCCGGGGCUCAACUCCGGAUCUGCGGUGGGUACGGGCAGACUAGAGUGAUGUAGGGGAGACUGGAAUUCCUGGUGUAGCGGUGAAAUGCGCAGAUAUCAGGAGGAACACCGAUGGCGAAGGCGGCAUCCUGGACCGGGAUUGACACUGAGGCGCGAAAGCCAGGGGAGCAAACGGG